rnacentral:rRNA from 1 species
GAUUGAAGGCUGAAAUUCGCCUUCAUGAAGCCGGAAUUGCUAGUAAUGGCAGGUCAGCAUACUGCCGUGAAUACGUUCCCGGGGCCUUGUACACACCGCCCGUCACACCAUGAGAGUUGGGAAUACCCGAAGCCUGUGAGCUAACUUUACGAGGCAGCAGUCGAAGGUAGAAUCAAUGAUUGGGGUGAAGUCGUAACAAGGUACC